UGGGGAAUUUUGGACAAUGGGCGCAAGCCUGAUCCAGCAAUGCCGCGUGCAGGAUGAAGGCCUUCGGGUUGUAAACUGCUUUUGUACGGAGCGAAACGGUCUGCCCUAAUACGGCGGGCUAAUGACGGUACCGUAAGAAUAAGCACCGGCUAACUACGUGCCAGCAGCCGCGGUAAUACGUAGGGUGCGAGCGUUAAUCGGAAUUACUGGGCGUAAAGCGUGCGCAGGCGGUGAUAUAAGACAGAUGUGAAAUCCCCGGGCUCAACCUGGGACCUGCAUUUGUGACUGUAUCGCUAGAGUACGGUAGAGGGGGAUGGAAUUCCGCGUGUAGCAGUGAAAUGCGUAGAUAUGCGGAGGAACACCGAUGGCGAAGGCAAUCCCCUGGACCUGUACUGACGCUCAUGCACGAAAGCGUGGGGAGCAAACAGGAUUAGAUACCCUGGUAGUCCACGCCCUAAACGAUGUCAACUGGUUGUUGGGUCUUCACUGACUCAGUAACGAAGCUAACGCGUGAAGUUGACCGCCUGGGGAGUACGGCCGCAAGGUUG
rnacentral:rRNA from 1 species